rnacentral:rRNA from 1 species
UAUCGCCGAAGGAGGGGUUUGGCGUCUGAUUAGCUGGUUGGAGGGUAACGGCCCAACAAGGCGAUGAUCAGUAGCCGGUCUGAGAGGAUGAACGGCCACAUUGGGACUGAGACACGGCCCAGACUCCCUACGGGAGGCAGCAGUGGGGAAUCUUCCGCAAUGGACGAAAGUCUGACGGAGCAACGCCGCGUGAGUGAAGAAGGUCUUCGGAUUGUAAAACUCUGUUAUACGGGACGAAAAAGGCGGAUGCCAACAGUAUCCGUCCGUGACGGUACCGUAAGAGAAAGCCACGGCUAACUACGUGCCAGCAGCCGCGGUAAAU